GGGUGAGUAACACGUGAGUAACCUGCCCUCCACUCUGGGAUAAGCGCUGGAAACGGCGUCUAAUACCGGAUAUGAAUCUCCACCGCAUGGUGGGGGUUGGAAAGAAUUUCGGUGGGGGAUGGACUCGCGGCCUAUCAGCUUGUUGGUGAGGUAAUGGCUCACCAAGGCGACGACGGGUAGCCGGCCUGAGAGGGUGACCGGCCACACUGGGACUGAGACACGGCCCAGACUCCUACGGGAGGCAGCAGUGGGGAAUAUUGCACAAUGGGCGCAAGCCUGAUGCAGCAACGCCGCGUGAGGGAUGACGGCCUUCGGGUUGUAAACCUCUUUUAGUAGGGAAGAAGCGAAAGUGACGGUACCUGCAGAAAAAGCACCGGCUAACUACGUGCCAGCAGCCGCGGUAAUACGUAGGGUGCAAGCGUUGUCCGGAAUUAUUGGGCGUAAAGAGCUCGUAGGCGGUUUGUCGCGUCUGCUGUGAAAUCCCGAGGCUCAACCUCGGGCCUGCAGUGGGUACGGGCAGACUAGAGUGCGGUAGGGGAGAUUGGAAUUCCUGGUGUAGCGGUGGAAUGCGCAGAUAUCAGGAGGAACACCGAUGGCGAAGGCAGAUCUCUGGGCCGUAACUGACGCUGAGGAGCGAAAGGGUGGGGAGCAAACAGGCUUAGAUACCCUGGUAGUCCACCCCGUAAACGUUGGGAACUAGAUGUAGGGUCCAUUCCACGG
rnacentral:rRNA from 1 species